AUGAAUAAUACACCUUUUAAUUUUGAGUUUCCUAAACCUGCAACACUAGUUGCCUUCGAACCGCCGCACAUCACCACCGACCUGCGCCAGAUCCAGCUUACCGUCAACAACCGCGUCGUCUUGCCGCACACAAACCACUACGCUCUCACACCGAUACGCGCCCUCUCCAAUCAGAAUUGCGGUGACAUGUGUUGA